UACGUAGGGGGCAAGCGUUGUCCGGAUUUAUUGGGCGUAAAGAGCGUGUAGGCGGUCAGGUAGGUCGGUUGUGAAAACUGGAGGCUCAACCUUCAGAGGUCGACCGAAACCCCCUGGCUAGAGUCCGGGAGAGGAGAGUGGAAUAGGCAGUGUAGAGGUGAAAUUCGUAGAUAUUGGCUGGAACACCGGUGGCGAAAGCGGCUCUCUGGCCCGGUUCUGACGCUGAGGCGCGAAAGCGUGGGGAGCAAACAGG
rnacentral:rRNA from 1 species